rnacentral:lncRNA from 1 species
CCGAAUGCAUGUUUCAGCUUUGUAUACUUGAUUUUAUGUGAAUAUUGAAUGUGAAUGAAUGACUUUAUUAGUAAUGAAAUUAUAUUUGUUGUAUGGUGGUUCUGAUUUGAGUUAUAAGUUAAGUAAUGCCUCUUAACCUAUUCCGGCGACGGUUAUGGGUUAGGGGUGUUACACCUUGUCUUUAGCAAAUUUUAGAGUUUUUCCCUGAAUAAAGCCUUAACCUUGCUCAAUAAGCUUAUGUUUAAUUUUUUGUAAGCUUCUAUCAGAAUUGGCCUACUGGUCUGAUGAUUAAGUGGAGUGUGG